rnacentral:lncRNA from 1 species
AGACAAAAGAAAAUAAUAAAGCAUAAGUAAUCCCGCAGAAAUAACGUAAAUAAUUAUGUAAGCAUAAGAAACAUAAAUACAAUCGCAUGCAAUAAUAACAAGCAGAAACUACCAUACUAACAGCCAUAAGAGGACAUAAGCUAAAACACUAAUCAUCUAUGAGUGACCCUACUAUCCCACACCCAACCCCGGAAGAGGCGUACGAAGAACUCUAUGA